AUGGAGCCCUUGAGUUAGAGAGACCAGAGAGCCAGUCCAACCCAGUCCAUCACCUGGAGGCUGGAGAACCACGAGGCUGUUGCCUGUUCGUCCCCCUCUUCUGAGAGGUCCAGGUCACCUGCUCUGGGAGAAGCCAGUUGCCAUGUUGUAAGGACACUCAAGCAGCCCAUGGAAUGACUCACAUGCUGAAGAACUGAGCCCUCCCUCCUUCCAACAGCCAGGGAGGAACUAGGGCUUCUUGCCAAUAACCAUGUGAAGAAGCUUGGAAAUGGAUUCUCCCCCAAAUGAGUCUUCAGAUUACUGUAGACUAACAUCUUGACUGCAACCUCUAGAAAGACCCUGAGCCAGGAUCACCAAGCUCACAGAAGCUAAGAGUUAAUAAAUGUUUGAAUUAAGCUGCUAA